rnacentral:rRNA from 1 species
CCUACGGGAGGCAGCAGUGGGGAAUUUUCUGCAAUGGGCGAAAGCCUGACGGAGCAAUGCCGCGUGGAGGUAGAAGGCCCACGGGUUGUGAACUUCUUUUCUCAGAGAAGAAGCAAUGACAGUAUGUGAAGAAUAAGCAUCGGCUAACUCUAUGCCAGCAGCCGCGGUAAU